UGCCCAAAAGCUUUACUAUUCUGGUGGUUAAUUUUUUUUUUUAUACAUCUUUCUUUUAGUAUGUAGAGAGAUCAACAAUGAAGCCGCUGAGACUCUUCUGACCAUCGGGAACUCAGCUCAGAUGAUCCAGACAUCAGAAAUGCCCUGUACAAGUGAGAAAUAUCUUCAACCCUCUUAUUUGCUUCAAUCCAGAUUAACACUUUCCAUCAAAUCAAAUUUGAGAUCUUCCUUAGAUUAUUGAUUCAUUAAAAUCUUUUUCAGUUGGAAAUGAUAUAAUUGAACAGUCAAGCAUUGUACAUGAAGAGGUUGUCCAUGAGGAAGUUAUCACAGAAACAGCCGACGUUGAAUUUUCAAGCUAUGAAGCUUUUAUUCCAGAACCUUCUGCUGAAGAAACCCCCACCCAGAAUAAGGAACCUAUCAAAUCACAGACAACUGAAGAUCAUCCUUGUCCCAUUCAACAUGAGACACAGGUUCCACCAAGUAAAAGAGGUCGAUUCUCCAAACCCAAUAUUGGUCAAGAUCUGAGAACCAGACAGCAGCAAACCUGUCCAGAACUUGUCACAGGUUCUUUUGGGACCUCUAUGGGUCCAUCUUCCACAGAACAGGAUAGAAAUGCAGCAGAACCCAUGCAAGAAGACUGUGUUCCUGUGGAUCACCUGCCAGACUUCUCUACCGUCCACCCUGAGGUACUACAGCCGGAUCCAUCAUCUGAAAGAAGAGAAGACCGUCCCAAAGUCAUCCCUGAAAGAGUGAAUAAAGAAGAUAAUCGAUCUGUCUCAUCUUUGAAAAGAAAGAAUGAUGAUAUAAUCACAGAGGAAAAUAUAAAAGAACAAGAAGGGGCGAGAUUAGAACCACAGCUGACUAAAAGUGUGAGUGAGUCUCAGAGCACAUCAGAUGAGCCCUCUAAACCUGUCAGGAGGUGCCGCGGACCCAAACCUAAACCAAACCUGAUUCAGACAUCCAGGCGCACACAGACCACAACAGUAUUAAAUCAAAAGCAGCCUGCUGCCGAGUGGUCCACGAACACUUUCACUAAAAGUCCUGAAGAGGGUGCGGUAGUUACCACAGAACUUGAUGUAUUCACAAGCACAGCUCAACAUGUGGUGACAUCGAGCAUUGAAUCAGCACAGACCGUCAAAGAUGUCACCCUGCCAGUUGUUUCUGAAAACAAGUCCAGACAGAAAACUGUAGUCAUGCUGGAUGAGAACAACAGAACCAAUCCUGAGGAUGUUUUUGAAGACAGCACUUUGAAUCGUUCUGGAUGUGAAUCAGAAGACACAUCUGCUGAGCCCACGCCCGAGGAACCUGUGUUUAUACUGUCUCUCACAGAAAUCCCACCCACCUUAGAUGAGGGGGCGGACUUUCGGACAGAGCCCCUCCCACCUGCAGCAGCGCCCGAGUCGCAUUCUCAUGGUCAAAGCGCUAGUGAGAGCAGGGAGGCAUCUCACCUUCUGAUCACAGAUGCUUUAGUUCCUGUGUCAGAGGAUGAGGAAAAGAAAAGUGAAUGGAUGGGUGUGGGCAAAUCAGUGAAAGGAGAAUUGAAAUGCAAGACACCAGCCUCCACAUCUCAGGGGAGUACCAUAGAUGAGAGUCGGGCAGAACAUCAUGGUGAGAAUAUUUGCAGCACAUCAUUAUACUCUAAAAAUGAGCAUAUAUGGCACAGAUUGUAACAUCUGUUCAUGCAUUGCACUGCCCUAUAACCCAAUUUCUUUAUGUGCUAGUAGUGGAAGGAUUGGAAAGCCUUGUAGCAGAGGGGACUGAUGAUAAGGAACAUCUGGAGAAGAAAAGAAAACUACCUGACAGUACAAGGAGAGGUAAAAG
ensembl:lncRNA